rnacentral:miRNA from 1 species
CCUAUCGGGGCAAACCUCAUA